AGCACCACAACAGGUGGAGCCUGCGGUUUAAUCGGACUCAACGCCGGGAAACUCACCAGAUAAGACAGCUGAAUGAUAGUCGGGCUGAAGACUCUACUUGACUAGCUGAGAGGAGGUGCAUGGCCGUCGUCAGUUCGUACUGUGAAGCAUCCUGUUAAGUCAGGCAACGAGCGAGACCCACGCCAACAGUUGCCAGCUCGUCCUCCGGGAUGGUGGGGACACUGUUGGGACCGCCUCUGCUAAAGAGGAGGAAGGAAUGGGCAACGGUAGGUCAGCAUGCCCCGAAUUAUCUGGGCUACACGCGGGCUACAAUGGGUGGGACAAUGGGUAUCGACACCGAAAGGUGAAGGCAAUCUCCUAAACCCAUCCGUAGUUCGGAUUGUGGGCUGCAACUCGCCCACAUGAAGCUGGAAUCUGUAGUAAUCGUGUCUCAAAAUGGCACGGUGAAUAUGUCCCUGCCCCUU
rnacentral:rRNA from 1 species